rnacentral:rRNA from 1 species
UACGGAGGGUGCAAGCGUUGUCCGGAAUUAUUGGGCGUAAAGGGCGCGUAGGCGGUCCAUCGCGUCGGGAGUGAAAAGCUGGGGCUUAACCCCAGUCCUGCUUCCGAUACGGGUGGACUAGAGGUAGGUAGGGGAGAUCGGAAUUCCUGGUGUAGCGGUGAAAUGCGCAGAUAUCAGGAGGAACACCGGUGGCGAAGGCGGAUCUCUGGGCCUUACCUGACGCUGAGGAGCGAAAGCGUGGGGAGCAAACGGG